AAACAUUUUUACGUAUAACAGUACUGAAUAUAACCAUGGACUGUUUGCAAAUUAUAUUGGAAUCAUGUAGACACAGCUUUAAUAAUGGAUAAUAUAAUUAUUACUUUUUCUAGCCAAAAAUCAGGAGCAGACUAUGUAUACAAGUCUGGAAUGGAGGACUUUCCAUUCUAGAAGAAAGAGUGGCCAUUUUCAACUCUUCUUCCUUUUGAGACCUCACUAAAAUUAGAGGAACAGAAUUUAAAAAUACAUUACAUCUCCAUGAUAAAGAGAACAGGAAAGGAAAUAUCAACAGACAAGGGGAUUUGACAGAUAUUUUUGGAGGGAAGAAACGGUGGAGCAGAGGUAAUUAAGCCGAUUGGAGAGAGGCUGUCCUGCAGACCGAGUGAGACAAGGUCCUGGCACUGGAGAGGCUGCUGCCUGGAUCCCUCCCCCAACACAAGAAAUCAGGAAAUCACCACUCCUCUUGCCCCAGGCCAGAGACUAGGUUUCUGUAGACAUGGAAGGUAGAGGCUGCGGACCUGGACCCCAGACACAGAAAACCUCUCAGAGUUGCAGUGUAUGAGUCUCUGGAUUGAAAGGGCUCAAUAGAUGCCCAGCAUAACGAUGAAGAGGACCCACAUCUAGACAUAUAUUGGCCUGAAAUUUUCAUGUAUUUGGGAUCAAGAGAAAAUCCUGAAAGCUUGUAAAUUAAUGCUGUUCAAUAUGGUGGUCAUUAGCCA
rnacentral:lncRNA from 10 species